GUGCUUCAAUAGUACAUAUACUAAUGUUAAAAUGACACAGAGAAGAUUAGCAUAGCCCUUGUGCAAGGAUGACACACAAAUUUAUGAAGCAUUCCAUGUAUUU